rnacentral:rRNA from 1 species
GACGUAGGGCGCGAGCGUUGUCCGGAUUUAUUGGGCGUAAAGAGCUCGUAGGCGGCUUGUCGCGUCGAAUGUGAAAACUCGGGGCUCAACUCCGAGCUUGCAUUCGAUACGGGCAGGCUAGAGUUCGGUAGGGGAGACUGGAAUUCCUGGUGUAGCGGUGAAAUGCGCAGAUAUCAGGAGGAACACCGGUGGCGAAGGCGGCUACCUGGCCAUGUACUGACGCUGAGAUACGAAAGCGUGGGGAGCAAACAGG